UACGAAGGGUGCAAACGUUGCUCGGAAUUAUUGGGGCGUAAAGCGCACGUAGGUGGCUUUGCAAGUCGGAUGUGAAAUCCCUCGGCUCAACCAAGGAAGUGCAUCCGAAACUGCAGAGCUUGAGUACCAAAGAGGAUCGCGGAAUUCCCGGUGUAGAGGUGAAAUUCGUAGAUAUCGGGAGGAACACCAGUGGCGAAGGCGGCGAUCUGGGUGGAUACUGACGCUGAGGUGCGAAAGCGUGGGGAGCAAACAGG
rnacentral:rRNA from 1 species